rnacentral:rRNA from 1 species
CCUACGGGGGGCGGCAGUGAGGAAUAUUGCACAAUGGGCGAAAGCCUGAUGCAGCAACGCCGCGUGGAGGAUGACGCAUUUCGGUGUGUAAACUCCUUUUAUGAGUCAAGAAAAUGACGGUAGCUCAUGAAUAAGCACCGGCUAACUCCGUGCCAGCAGCCGCGGUAAUACGGAGGGUGCAAGCGUUACUCGGAAUCACUGGGCGUAAAGGACGCGUAGGCGGGAUGGUAAGUCUGAUGUGAAAUCCUACAGCUCAACUGUAGAACUGCAUUGGAAACUACUAACCUAGAGUAUGGGAGGGGGAGAUGGAAUUAGUGGUGUAGGGGUAAAAUCCGUAGAUAUCACUAGGAAUACCGAAAGCGAAGGCGAUCUCCUGGAACAUUACUGACGCUAAGGCGUGAAAGCGUGGGGAGCAAACGGGAUUAGAUACCCCGGUAGUCCACGCCCUAAACGAUGAACACUAGUCGUCGGGAUGCUUGUCAUCUCGGUGAUGCACUUAACAGAUUAAGUGUUCCGCCUGGGGAGUACGGUCGCAAGAUUAAAACUCAAAGGAAUUGACGG